rnacentral:lncRNA from 10 species
CGUGUAUUGCGCGUGUACUUUGGGUGGCCCUGUGCUGCGUCAGCUGGAAGGGAUCCAGAGAAAAAGACAGAGCCCUCUUUGAAGACAUCCAGAGAGAGAUCUAGGAUGUUGGGAAGGAACAAAGAAAUUCAGGCAUCUCUCCUGAGAAGAGAAAGGGAGUAGAAUGCUCCAUCAUGAUGCUAACCACAAGAAUUGACUUGACGGGACAGAAUCAAGGGGAAGAACGUCAGUGAAACUUCUGGUGACAAUCACCCACUUAGCUACUUGGGAAGCUGAGACAGGAUAUCUGCUUGAGCCCAGGAGUUCGUGGCUGCAGAGAGCUGUGAUCACACCACCGCACUCCAGCCAGGGCAACAGAGUGAGACCCUGACUCCAAAAGCAAAAACAAAAGAGCAAAAACGAGAUUCCAAUGUAUACUCCCACCAAUUAAUUUGAAGGUGACCAUAUCCCUCCUAUCAAAUACUGUCACUCAUUUACAUCUUUGCCAAAUGUGGGAAAACAUAAAGUUUGGCAACCCUAUAUUGACUCCACCAUGCCUUGGGAAAGGCAGCCCGCAUCAGUGGCAGGAAAUAUUGGUGGAGCGAGCUGGGACUUGCAGGUGACCAAGAAGGGGGAUCCCGGAACCGGAAUUGUCUCCCUUGGCGUUCCGGAAGUAGAAGCAGAGUCAUUGCUGGGUGGCGCCAGCCCUCAGACUUGCCUCUUUGCAGUAGGAAGAAGGCCUCCCCACAUACCUUCCCACACUCAUCACCUUAAGCCAGACUCGGUGUCCAGUGAAUAUGACCAUCUCUUGCCCAUUUUCUAAUGAGUGUUUUCAUUAAUGAGUUAUAAGAAUGUGGUGGGUAAAUCUAUGGGCUUUGAACUAGUGAAUCAACUUGGUUUCAGAAUCUGGCACUGCUACUUACUAGUGAAUUUAAGCAAGUUAUUUCACCUUUCAGAGUGUCAGUUCCCUCAUGCAUACAAGGAAGAUAAAAAAUAAUGUAUACAAAAGUAUUGGAGUAAUUAAUACAUGGAGAACUACAUGUAAAGCGUUUAGCAUGAUGUCUGACAUAUUAAGCAUCCAAUAUUAGUUGCUUGCAGAAUUAUUAGUAAAAGAGAUUGCUUCUGAAAGCCAUUCCAAUUCUUAAAUUUUAUAAUGCCACAUUUGAGGUCACCUGAAGUACGUGUAUAACAUGUGUACAUUUUUGCGAUUUAUUUUUUCAAUUCCCAGAUUAGAGGCAUAGAGAUAUCCUAGCAAGGACUCCAAGUGUGUAGAUCUGUCAAAGAUAUGAACAUGAAAGAACAGCUUAUUUCAAUAAACCCACUUUACAUACCUUGUGUGCUUGUUUUUAACAAUAAAAAUUGGAAAGAUAAUUAAGGAACUGAAAAACCAGAGGGUAAAUUCUACAGUUUCCUUAAUUUAAAGAGUAAUUGUUUUUAAUUCUGAUUCACCUAAGAAGAAGGCAUUUAACUUGUAGGGCUUUCUGUAUUUACAUGUAUUAUAUAUUAAAUCCUCACAAUUGUUUGCAGUCAUUAUUAUUAUUAUUAUUAUUAUGCCCAUAUAAUAUGUUAAUGUGGAAACUGAGGCUCACAAAGCUUAAUUAAAUUGCCCAAGUUCCUAAAAUUAAUA